UUCAACCAUUUUAUAUUAAAUCUACAGUCUCUGUCAGGCUAAUUUCAGUAAGAUUGAAGCAGAAAUUUCUUCUUCUUUUAAAAAUGUAAUGUUCAAAGUCUUGUCUGCACUCAUUUAGGUGUUUCACCAAGUAUAAAGUUUGUUUUCUGGGAAUUCACAGUUAUUUGAAAAUCCUCUCCAUAAUAAAUAAGGGCACAUAUGCAUGAUACAGUUACAGUGAUCAUAUAUGACACUCUGACACACAAAAGAAUUCACUCCCUUACCAAAUAGCAACGGAAUGUCUGCUAUAGUCAGGCUCUGUUUUAGACACUGGAGGUACAGCAGUGAACCGAAGAGACACAUUUCCUAACUCACAUAGCUUAUUUUUGACAGGAAAAUGGCUGCUGUAGCUGCACGUUGGCUUCUUCUCAUCCACACAAGCGUAGGAAGCACAGCAAGCGCGAUUGCAGCCUGGUGCAGCAGAGCAGGGCCCCGUCUGUGAAAGAGAAGAAACCCAAAGAUGACUUUUGUACCUUUUAUGGAGGCUUGUGCACCCACCCAUAUAGCCCAGAGAGAGAAAUUGGAUAUUUAUAGAUUCCUGUGAGAGUAAUUGCUAGUACUUAAAAUUCAAGAGAUUUUUCAGCCUCCAAAUUUGAUUUUCAUUUAUCUGUUUGACUUUCUGUGCUUUGGUAAGCAUGAAAGGCAGUAUGACCUAACGACUAAGAAUCUAAGUACUGGAAUGAGCUUCCAUGGGUUCAAGUCCUAGCUCUGCUAUUUUCCAGUUCUGGGACCUUACAGAUGUGAUGUACCUCAUUUCUCUCACCUGUAAGAUAGAGAUGGUUCUGAUAUUACCUGACUGAUACAUUGUGGCUUAUUGUGAGGAUUGCAUGGAUUCAUACAUGUAAAAUACUUAUAGUAGUGUUUGGCAUAUAGUAGGCACUCAAAAAAUGCUAGAUAUUAUUAUGCAUAAAUAAAAAAUCCCACCUAAGAUAUAUGAAUUUGGGAAUAAUUUGCAUUAUAUUUCUGUUGGAGUAAAUUAUUUUGGAGUUUUCUUUUUCCUUUUGGUGUUGAGUGGAACCUUUAUCAGGGAUGAUAAAUAGGACCCAAUUUUGAUACAUAGCAAGAAGGACCCUGUGUUUUAGGGGCUUCUCUCCUUGAAGACUCUCCAUGGCUUGGUUCUGGUUCUGUCACUUUUGUCCUGUGAGCUUCAGGUUACCUACGCAACAAAAACACAGAACAGAUGUUAUGAAGCUGAGCUAAUGGCAGCCCGUAGCACCGAGCUCCUUAACUGAUGGGUUCAAAAACUUUCCCCUAGCAAUUCAAGAGUGCCAAGAGUAAGUGGGCCAAGAAGGAGAGUUAUGGCUCUUUGCAAACCCAGAAGGAGCAGUUCUCAGUCUGCACUUGACAUGUCUGAGGGUUUAGAAGACCGUUUUGUGGUACGGCUGAAUCCCCAGUGUGCUGUGUUCCCAGGGAAGAAAACCAAUAACAACAGAUCCCACAACUCAUACCAUUUACUAAAUGGGCUUCCUCGCAAGUGGGGCUCUGGGAGGAAUCUCACAAUUUCCUGCCGCUUUGUCUCUGAAGGCCAGUUGCGGAGAAGAGAAUAGAGGUAGAAGCACCUUUACUUUGCAAGCUCUAACUGCAAGUCUGAAGGCCGGGUGGUUGUCAGACGUGUAGCAUAGACUGCUGGGCUCACCCCCAAGAGUUUCUGAUUCAGUGCAUCUGGGGGAGGACUCUAGAAUUUGCACAUCUACAAGUUCCCAGGUAAUGCCGAUGCUGCUUGACUAUAGACCACAUUUCCAGAACCCCAGCUCUAGGCUAUUUAUAUAAUAGUAGCAUCAACUCUGCACUGACUUAUUAGGAUAUAGAUUUGGACCCCAGGUUAUAAACAUCAGUUGGAAUUUUGCUUAAUUCUUCAUGUAAAAAGAGAAACUGUAAAAUGUUUUGUGAUAUUGCUAUGUAAAAACUAUCUAACAGUUCAGUGAAAAUGUUUAUGGCUAUUGACUCAGUAGGAACAGUUUUGUUCGCCUUUUUCCCUAAAAUAACCAAUUUACUCAAGACUAAGCUCUUUUUCCAGUUGGCCUCAAGUUUUCUAAACGUAGUUUUGUUUUCCUUAAUGCAGAAUUAUUUAUAAAAGACAAAAAGAUACAACUCAAUGUCUGGUUUUCUGUGUUGACAGUAUAAUUAAACAGGUACUUCUUUAAAAAAUAUUUUUUCUCAUCUUCUACCCUUCCCUUUUGAUAUUAGCCCCUAACUUCUAUCCGUAGUUUUUAGCUUUGAACUACUUAGUAGAUCUCCAAUAGACUGAACUGAGCUUUACCACAUAGCUAAAAAUAUUCCACCUGAAUACUUUUUACUCUGACCAGUAUAUUUUUAGGUUUAACAAUUUGACAGCUUUCUCAUCUCUAUCUCAAUUUUCCUCUCUUCUCCAACUUAGGGCAGAGAUUGACCCAGUAAAUACCAUGUUUCAUGCAGCAGAAAGCUCAAACACACUUGAUUCAGGUUCAUCUGGAGAAAACUAGAAUUUGAUAGAGGAGCCUAGAAUCCAGAGACAAAAACAGAGACAACAGGACAUCACAGAAUGGGAAGGCACACCCUCUUGGAAAUCUGCAGCUACAUAGCCCUAGAACUUCAUUUUAGGGCUUCAGAUGAAUUAUUUCACGCCAUAACACCCAAAGCCCAUAUCAACUGCCAUCAUUGAAAGAUAAAAAGAUCCAAAGAAACUGGGUGAAUAAUAAAAUAACGGAGCACAAGACAAAUCCUGAAUAAGAAACAAACACAUAGAAAAUGAAGCCUCCUUCGAAGAAGGCAAAGGACAAAAAAAGUGAGAGCAAUAUUUUCCUGGCCUGAAAUGGAAAUGUCACUACUGGACAUCAGCCAUUGCAGACUUGGCUAUUUUAGCAAAGUUGGGAGAAAACAGUGUGGUGGCCAAGCAAGUUGCCCGAGUCAUUAGGAGUUGGAGGGAGUCCUGCUACGGUCAGGGUUGCGCUCUUGCUACUUACCACUGUUCCUGGCAAGGCCGAUCGUUGUGGCUGCACUGGGGGCCUCUGGGACUCAGGAAUCUGAGACUGUGAUGGGAGAGGGCAAGUCCAAGUCCUCUCGGAAAGAAGAUGCCUUGGAGUAACCUCAUGUGGCCUGCAUGUGCCUGGCCCCUGUGCCAGUCCGUGCUCGGCGGGAGUACCAGUUAAUCCUUCCCACGUCUGCAUGGAGUAUGGAGCUCCUCAGCCUCCACAGGGAAGGUGCGUUCGGGACAUUGGGCUAUUUAUCAUGUUUUUACAUCAGGCUCAGCUGUCUUCACUUCUCACUUAUUAUGUAACUCCCUCAGAAGCAAGCAGAUAGUGUCUCUAAACACAGGGAGCAGAGAGGGGGGCAGACAACAGAGGAGAAAUAGUGCUGCAUCCACGUAGAAUAUUCUUGGCAGAGAAUCAUAGGAGGUCAAAAAAUUUUAGAUAUAAAAUUUUACAUAUGAACAAACAAAGCCUCAGACAAGUUAAGUGACUUAUCCAAGGAUAUGGAGAUAGUUAGCAAUGUCAGGAUUAAGGUUUUUUUCCCAAAGGUUGAAAUUUCUGUUUUUCUCUCACUUUCUACUUAUCUGUAAUUAUACACACAUAUACA